ACCAUCGGGAGCGCAUUAGUGGGAGCAAAGUUACGCGUGAUCGCGGCUUCCGCGCCCGCGCCGGUGCGGGUGUGAAUCGCAUCGAACGUCGUGUGCGUGCUUUCUUGCUAAUUAAUUUAUUCAUAAAUCCGUUGUACUAUGCAGGAUCGUGCUAGUGAAAGGGAAGAACAGUGAAAAACCUCCACGUCCCGAACUUCAGCCAAUUGUGAAAAACAAACUAACGUGUAGUUGCUGUGAACUGGAGAAAUGAAGGAUAAUAUUUUCGUGAAUCAACUAUAUUCAUUAACCGGUACGUGACAGCGUUGUGAGGAUCCAUGGUAUUACAGUUGAGUUACGAAAUCUCAACAAUGUCAACGAGUUAGAAGAGCCUUUACAUUGUGAUUUCGUAACAGUACAAAUUGAUUUGAAAUUUGGACGAUGUGUUACGGUGAAUAAAUACACUAGUUGCAUGUGUAACAGUUUCUGAGGUGGAAUUAAAAAUAUUCUUGAAACUAAUUUUUUUUGGAAAAGUACCGACGGUAUACGCGACCUGAUUGAUCGAGGAUGUAUCAUACAUUUGACCAAGUGAAUAUUUCUCGGAAGAUAAAAUUCAACAGAUAUUUCAAGUGCAGGACACCUUUAUGGUAAACUACUACAAGUACAGAGUAUCUGGUGGCAAUUAUCGCAGUGAUCAUCUCGGGAAUUCGUAUCCAGUAGACAAUCAUCGUUGGUUUGGAAAACAUCUUACGUUAUUUCAGACUAGACAAUGAAGCAGCAGUAAUUUUAAUCGAUUAUCUUCACCCACCAUGGCAAGAUCAGUAGCACGGAGCAAUCGAAAACGAACGGACCAAGUGCCCGUCAAUAGCAAAAAUGGGAUUGUAUUCUUGGACGUGGAUUUUCGUUUUCGGUGGAUUUGGACUACAGAUGACCCUGAUGGGAAAGCGGCUGCAACAAACACCACAUCUCUACUUGGCUAGCUGUAUACAUAACCUCGAAGCAUUGCAAGUUCCGAGGGUCAUUCGGUUGAUCUGAGGAGGGAACCUACUCAUCACUUCAACACGUGAUAUUUGUUUUGUUUUAUUUGAUUUCUUUAUGAAAUAAAAACUGUUAUCUCAAUUCUACUCUGAACAAACGUACUAAUAUUGAGAUAUAUUGUAGGCGAGAUAUGUUCUAUUACAAUUGAAGCAUGUAGGCGGAGGCGGUUGUCCAAACAGUCGAGCUUAGAUUUUCCGUCUUCAAACAAAAAACACUAUCCAUUGCAAAAACAUCAACACCAUCUGAUGGAAGACGGAAAGCGUAAUCCGGACGGUUUGCAACUGCUAUCCUUAACCAUAGACAGAAUAAAGAGAAUGAGAAUCUUUUUCCAAGAAAAAUAUUUAUUACUAUAAGCAUCUCUGAAAGUCUAGUUAAAAAUUUGAAAGUAGUGUAGAGGUGCAACAAAUACGAUUAACUUUACGUACACAGGCAUUUAGUUGCCGUCUUCUCUUCUUAAAUCAAUUCUUUACUAUAAUGAUAAUUUAAAGAGUGGAGACAUUAUCAUUAAACCGUUCACCUAAACACGCAUAUACCCACAGCAGGGAAAAUCAGUACGGUAGACGUGCGGUUUUCAACCAUGCAUUAAAAAUGUCAGAAGCUGAUUGCUUUCGUUGCAUAAAGUUGGCGAGGAACUUUCAUAUACAUAUCUAUAUCACCGUUGAUGCGAGGAAAUUGCUGCUACAUCAAAAGCAAUUAAGGGACUGAGCUCAGAAGAAGCUGCUAGAUGCUGUUGACAAAAAUCAUAACGAUUGCCUCUGUAAUUAUUAGAGAAUAGUAAAAAGUUUUAUUACAAAACAAUAUGAUUCUGAAGCGACAUAAUAUUAGAGAGUUUAUUUGCAUGUUCGUAUAGGGUAAAUACUUGUGCCCCGCAUAGAGUUUAGGAGUCUUGAGAGUGAGCAAAUAUGUAUGAAUAAAAUGUUAGUUUUUGUAAGCCAACGGUAA